ACCAUGAAAGAAUUAUACUUCAGAAGGACCGGAAUUCCCUUACAAAUACCUGGGCUAGUAAGUUGCUCGCCAUUGGCAACGUGUACCUUUAAACCAUUCUGUUUGUUUACCACAACAUUCAGUUCCUCAACUUUUGCGGCAGAAACAAAAUUGUGAGUGCUGCCGGAGUCAAUGAGGAUCAAGACUUGCCCAAGCAUCCAACUGCCUAUCAACCUCAUGGACUGGGGAUUUCGAAUCCCAGUAAUGGCAUUCAAAGAAAUUUCUGGAUCAGCUGUGAAAUCCUCUACAUCUUCCGUCUCUUCCAAAUCAAUCCAGAACAAUUUCUUACAUUGAUGGCCUCGAACAAACUGCUCAUCACAAUUAAAACAGAGUCCUUUCUUCCGCCUCUCCUCCAUUUCAUCAGGGGACAGCCGCCUCACUAUCCGAUUGGCGCGGUUGUCAGGUGGAAUUGCAGCGCGACGAGUAUCCCUCGCAGCUGAAGAACGUGGAAACAGUUUGCGUUCAUACAGCCGAGAAAUGCUCAUAGCAUUAACCAAGUCGGUGGGAUGGUGAAGCUCCACUUCAACCGCAAUGGAGUCUUGUAAACCACUGAGGUAUAAUUGGACCUUCUGGUGUUGAGUGAGAGUUCCAGCCCGAGACACAAGAGCCUCAAACUGAUUCUGAUAAUCAGCGACAGACCCCGUUUGCUUCAGUUUAGCUAAUUCACCAAGUUUGUUGCUGCGGAUUGGAGGCCCAAAACGGAGGUUACAUUGGUGAGAAAACUCAGCCCAAGAGGGAU
rnacentral:misc_RNA from 1 species